CCCCUGGUAAAAGGGGAUACCAUUUACAUACCUUCCCUAGUCAUUGGGAACAAAACUUACUUUUCCUUCCCGGGUAUUGGGAAACCUUUUGGUUAAUUACUGUUUAUACGGAUUGCAACUAACGGCACUAAACGAAACUCUAUCACUCAAGUCCCUACUACAAAUACCGAUUAGUCGCCGGGUUAGGCGAGCGGGUUAUUAGUUGAUAGCGCUAUUUAGGUGUUUACCAGCCUCACACCGUGCCCUGGUUUGGGACGGGCGUGAACUAAUGUACUCAGAAAUCCGUCAAUGAUGAUAGAACAUUGACAUCGGGGCAUCCUGCGGAUACGCAACGGUAACCAGUGACGAUGGAGCUUGCAGCUUGGGAACGUCCUCACACCGUGCCCUGGUUUGGGACGGGCGUGAACUAAUGUACUCAGAAAUCCGUCAAUGAUGAUAGAACAUUGACAUCGGGGCAUCCUGCGGA
rnacentral:lncRNA from 1 species